CUUAUUUUCUCAGAUCUUUGAUCUUUUGUACCUACAAGGCUACAAUACUUUCUGCUGUAAUUUAAGAGGUGUUUUCAGUCUACAGCAUGUUUGUAAUACUCCUCAAAAGCAUUUGCUUCCUCAUUUGUAAGUACAGAGAUGUAAAUUUGCAGUUCCUCAUGUUAACUUUUUCUUGUAUGACUUUUGCUGUGUUUCUAACAACAGCAACAACAAGCAGCUCCAGUGGUCAUGCUUUUUCAACAUCUGUACCAGCUGCAGCUAUUCUGGGCAGAACAGGAGUUGCAGAGGUACCCAUUCUCUUCAAGAACCACCUUACAGUGACUACCCUGCUUUUUGACUGCAUACUAUUAAUGUGGAGUCCCCAUUGUAUUCUUCUUCAACUUCCUUUUCGCUGCCAAGAGAAACCCAUGGUUUGGAGACAGGAGGCUUAUAAGCACAGACAUCUUGAGUUUCCUCUUUCUCCUCUUCGCUGUCAAUUUCUUCUGCAGUUUCUGGAGGCUGUGACAUCAAACAGUUAUCCUUCAGAGAAAUGUUCUGGCUUGCAAAGCACGUCAGAUAUUAAAGAACAUGACAGCAACCCCGAAAUAUUUUUGAGACAAGAUUCUGAAAUGUUUGUAGAUUGAAUAAUGCUGUGGUAUUUUUCCUUACCUUCAGAAAGUUUUCUUUGGCUUCCUCAGAAGCAACGAGUGCCGCUCUGUGCCUGUUCUUCUAUAAUCAUCCAUGACAAUUAACAAAAUGUAUGACACGUCUGGUACACCCUGCAUAUACCAGGUGCUCUGCAUUGGAGAGAAGCCGUAAGGAAUCUGUCAUCUUGUGUACGCUGCAAGAUUCCGUGCACCGAAAACUUCCCCUUACCAUUACCUGCUCACACCUGCUUAGGACAAUUAACAUGCAAAUCAUGUUAUGUGCAGAGGUGAGAAAUGGACAAAGCUCACUGAUGUUGUAUGGUAGCAGAGCUGACAGGUGUGUGGGUAGACCAGGUUAUUACAUUCUUCAUAUCUGCAAUACUUUACGCACCAGGUUGUUUUUGUUUUCCUUUUGAGGCUCGCUUGGCUUUUUCACCUCUCUGUUUCUUUGCUGAGGUUUUUGGACUUUUCAAGGUGGUCUUGCCAGAUCUGAGAUUUUUGGGCAUGUUUUCAGAAUCUCUAGAGAAAAUAGAUAUCAUCAACAAAUAGUAAGCAAACAGUGGAACGCACUGUGCAGGAGUGAAAAUUUGGCCCUUAAUUUUAUAUAUUUUAUUAUCACAGUCCAAUUUUCAUCCGCAGCUAACACUCCGGAAUUUAAAACAUAAAUUAUAUGGUAUGUAGCAGUUGGAAAUUCACCUGUCCAGGGUUACUAAAUACACAAGCUGAUUAUCAAAAGCAGUGAAAGGUUAAGUUAGAACAUGCAUUACCCUUUAAGAAAGCUGGAGAACUUGAGCUAUAAGGUAUAAAGUGUAGGUGAAGAUUCCACAGCUGUUCAUAUUUGUCCCAAUCUCCUUAAAGUGUAAAUCAUUACACAGGUGUACAAAGCAUUCUUGUGCUUUUGCAUUUCCAUUUAAUUUAUCAGUGGUAGCUCCGUGGAGGACAGAUUUGGAAAGAAACCAUGAAUGCAACACUUGAGCAGCUGGAGACUAUACUGUGCAGAAAACCACUUCUCUUUCACUUACUUCCCUCAUUCUCAGUAUUCAGCAUAAGGAUAAGAACAGCAGCGUAAUAAAGUCUCAUUUCCAUCGCAAAGAAAACGAAACCCAGCCUGCCCACUACACGGACCGGACGGCACAUCACCAGUAAAUACAGUCCCAGCACCAUCAUGUGGAAGAGAUCCGCAUAGCAUCCAGUAAAACUGAACCUCUAUGGUCCACAAACUGUAAUGAAAAGUACUGAAAUUUGUUUGAUGUUGCUAUUGAACAGCUAGAGGUAUUCAGCUCGGAUAAGGACAGUGGGACUCCCAGUGUUUGUGCUACAAUUACCCUUAGCAAUAGGAAAGAAACAUGAAGCCUCCCUCCCUCUCUUGCAUCUACCACUUUUCUUAGGACUAUAAGCUGACUGGCAGAGUAACUGGUUUUUUUAAUGUGUUACAAAACACCCACAGAAUGUGGGUACCACUUCACAAGUACCAGCAGAUUCACUUCUCAGAAUGCUGCAACCUUUGCCCUGCAAGAGUUGAUGGCUUUGGGAGAUUUAAAAAACAAACAUAAAUCAACACAAGUAAAUCAUGUGCUGUAAGGAUGUGACUGUAAGGAGGAAGUUCAUUUUUUUUUCUGUCCUCACUCACAGUCAUUUUGUGAAGUACAGAACUACAUACACUGAUUAUAUAUUUUUUUAUGUUUAAUGUUCAACGUUUUCCUAAUUGUAAUCUUUCAAAGGUGCCUCUACACUGAGUAAUGCAUGGUUUACAGUUCUGAAAUGCUUAAGGCUACCUUAACUUACCACAGAUCUUACUUCAGGUAGGUUAAAGAAAGUCAAUUUUCUCUCUCUCUCUC
rnacentral:lncRNA from 1 species